CACAGGCUGCGGCGAGUCAAUGGGCCGCUCUCCCAGGCCGCAGUGGCUCCGAAGCAUGGGGCCCGGGCCUCCAGGCUGCAGCGCGGCACUCACAGACAUGCAUGUGUGCCCGGUCUACCCCGAGGAUUCAGCGUGUGGGCGGGGUCGCUGAGGUCGCCUCCCACUUCUGGAGCUGCUGGCAGCCACCCUGGCAGCCACCAAGACGAGAGAACCUCCCGAGAACAAAGCCGACUCACUGGAAAGGUGACCUCAGAGGUGAAGAGAGACAGAGUCCCAACGGACGACGUUGUCUGAGACCCUGUCUGAGACCCUGGAUCCAGCGAGGCCUGAAGUGAAACUAUUCAAGGCUCCUCAGAUCCAUAAGCCAAUAAAUUCCCCCUUUCGGCUUCA